UGGGUAACCUGCCUCAAAGAGGGGAAUAGCCUCCCGAAAGGGGAGAUUAAUACCGCAUAAUAUGUUUAGGUCGCAUGACUUUAACAUCAAAGGAUUUCCUUUUAGAAAUUCCACUUUGAGAUGGACCCGUGGCGCAUUUGCUAGUUGGUGGGGUAACGGCCUACCAAGGCGACGGCGGGUGGCCGGCCUGAGAGGGCGACCGGCCACACUGGGACUGAGACACGGCCCAGACUCCUACGGGAGGCAG
rnacentral:rRNA from 1 species